rnacentral:tRNA from 1 species
GCCCGGGGGGGCUCAGUCGGUUGAGCAUCCGACUUCGGCUCAGGUCGUGAUCUCGCGGUUCGUGGGUUCGAGCCCCACAUCGGGCU